GAUGAACGCUGGCGGCGUGCCUAAUACAUGCAAGUCGAGCGAACAGACGAGGAGCUUGCUCCUCUGACGUUAGCGGCGGACGGUUAGUAACACGUGGAUAACCUACCUAUAAGACUGGGAUAACUUCGGGAAACCGGAGCUAAUACCGGAUAAUAUAUUGAACCGCAUGGUUCAAUAGUGAAAGACGGUUUUGCUGUCACUUAUAGAUGGAUCCGCGCCGCAUUAGCUAGUUGGUAAGGUAACGGCUUACCAAGGCAACGAUGCGUAGCCGACCUGAGAGGGUGAUCGGCCACACUGGAACUGAGACACGGUCCAGACUCCUACGGGAGGCAGCAGUAGGGAAUCUUCCGCAAUGGGCGAAAGCCUGACGGAGCAACGCCGCGUGAGUGAUGAAGGUCUUCGGAUCGUAAAACUCUGUUAUUAGGGAAGAACAAAUGUGUAAGUAACUAUGCACGUCUUGACGGUACCUAAUCAGAAAGCCACGGCUAACUACGUG
rnacentral:rRNA from 1 species